ACGUCGGUGGUGCAACGGUUUAGCACAUGCUACCAGAAAGUAAGAUCUAGGUUCGAAUCCCGGCUGACGCA